UGGAGGCAGCAGUGGGGAAUAUUGGACAAUGGGGGCAACCCUGAUCCAGCAAUGCCGCGUGAGUGAUGAAGGCCUUCGGGUUGUAAAGCUCUUUUGCCAGGGACGAUGAUGACGGUACCUGGAGAAUAAGCCCCGGCUAACUUCGUGCCAGCAGCCGCGGUAAUACGAAGGGGGCAAGCGUUGUUCGGAAUUACUGGGCGUAAAGGGCGCGUAGGCGGCCGAUCAAGUCAGGCGUGAAAUUCCCGGGCUCAACCUGGGGGCUGCGCUUGAUACUGAUUGGCUUGAAUGCGGGAGAGGAUAGUGGAAUUCCCAGUGUAGAGGUGAAAUUCGUAGAUAUUGGGAAGAACACCGGUGGCGAAGGCGGCUAUCUGGCCCGUAAUUGACGCUGAGGCGCGAAAGCGUGGGGAGCAAACAGGAUUAGAUACCCUAGUAGUCC
rnacentral:rRNA from 1 species